AGAGUUUGAUCCUGGCUCAGGACGAACGCUGGCGGCGCGCCUAACACAUGCAAGUCGAACGGAGCUUAGAGAGCUUGCUUUUUAAGCUUAGUGGCGAACGGGUGAGUAACGCGUGAGUAACCUGCCCUAGAGUGGGGGACAACAGUUGGAAACGACUGCUAAUACCGCAUAAGCCCACGGUACCGCAUGGUACUGAGGGAAAAGGAUUUAUUCGCUUUAGGAUGGACUCGCGUCCAAUUAGCUAGUUGGUGAGGUAACGGCCCACCAAGGCGACGAUUGGUAGCCGGACUGAGAGGUUGAACGGCCACAUUGGGACUGAGACACGGCCCAGACUCCUACGGGAGGCAGCAGUGGGGAAUAUUGCACAAUGGGGGAAACCCUGAUGCAGCGACGCCGCGUGGAGGAAGAAGGUCUUCGGAUUGUAAACUCCUGUUGUUGAGGAAGAUAAUGACGGUACUCAACAAGGAAGUGACGGCUAACUACGUGCCAGCAGCCGCGGUAAAACGUAGGUCACAAGCGUUGUCCGGAAUUACUGGGUGUAAAGGGAGCGCAGGCGGGAAGACAAGUUGGAAGUGAAAUCCAUGGGCUCAACCCAUGAACUGCUUUCAAAACUGUUUUUCUUGAGUAGUGCAGAGGUAGGCGGAAUUCCCGGUGUAGCGGUGGAAUGCGUAGAUAUCGGGAGGAACACCAGUGGCGAAGGCGGCCUACUGGGCACCAACUGACGCUGAGGCUCGAAAGCAUGGGUAGCAAACAGGAUUAGAUACCCUGGUAGUCCAUGCCGUAAACGAUGAUUACUAGGUGUUGGAGGAUUGACCCCUUCAGUGCCGCAGUUAACACAAUAAGUAAUCCACCUGGGGAGUACGACCGCAAGGUUGAAACUCAAAGGAAUUGACGGGGGCCCGCACAAGCAGUGGAGUAUGUGGUUUAAUUCGAAGCAACGCGAAGAACCUUACCAGGUCUUGACAUCCGAUGCAUAGCACAGAGAUGUGUGAAAUCCUUCGGGACAUCGAGACAGGUGGUGCAUGGUUGUCGUCAGCUCGUGUCGUGAGAUGUUGGGUUAAGU
rnacentral:rRNA from 1 species